UACGUAGGGACCAAGCGUUGUUCGGAUUUACUGGGCGUAAAGGGCGCGUAGGCGGCAAUUCAAGUCAGUUGUGAAAUCUCCGAGCUUAACUCGGAACGGUCAACUGAUACUGUUUUGCUAGAGUGCAGAAAGGGCAACCGGAAUUCUUGGUGUAGCGGUGAAAUGCGUAGAUAUCAAGAGGAACACCUGAGGCGAAGGCGGGUUGCUAGGCUGACACUGACGCUGAGGCGCGAAAGCUAGGGGAGCAAACAGG
rnacentral:rRNA from 1 species